UACGAAGGGGGCUAGCGUUGUUCGGAAUUACUGGGCGUAAAGCGCACGUAGGCGGAUCGAUCAGUCAGGGGUGAAAUCCCAGGGCUCAACCCUGGAACUGCCUUUGAUACUGUCGAUCUGGAGUAUGGAAGAGGUGAGUGGAAUUCCGAGUGUAGAGGUGAAAUUCGUAGAUAUUCGGAGGAACACCAGUGGCGAAGGCGGCUCACUGGUCCAUUACUGACGCUGAGGCGCGAAAGCGUGGGGAGCAAACAGG
rnacentral:rRNA from 1 species